GUUUAGAAAGCAUUGGUUUCCCACCCCUACCCACUGCUAGUGAUGGGCUGCUCGACACUCACACUUGAUGCAUCGAAACAAUGGCUGUUCAUCAAUCCGAAUUUGUGUUCUCGUGAACCCGUUUGAAGUCAUCUUUCAUGGACCAAGUAUUGUUCCAUUCUAAAGAACGAAAGUUACCAAGAACGCCUAAAUGUCUGGAUGUGUUGUUUAUCUGCACCUUUAAUCGAGGAUGUAUGGAGUGGUGACUUGGCCAGCAAGAACGCAUCUGAUAUCCUAGAAGUAAUUUAAAAAUGGCAGGAGAGUCGGACAAACUGCGUAACUCCCGAAGGUCGUUGCCAAACACCUCCUGCUCAACUGCACGAUCCUCUGGAUUGUCACCUUCUUCCUUAUGCUAAGGAUGGUCCUUCACCUCCAAGAUGUCAUCCAUAGAGAGACAAAGGUUGUGGAGAAUGCAGCAGCCACUUUGGGCACAAACAGAGGACACACUUCCAGAAAGAUGGAUCUCCAGCGGGUUUUCAGCUUGAAACAUGUGGGCUCGACUACGUGCCUUGGCGUGGUGGCCGUUGAACCGGGCCUCAACACAUCCUGCUGGGGGUUGAACGCAGUGACGUGGAAGGAAUCCUACCCAAUUCUCUGUGAGUGCCUCGACCUGGUCAGGGGAUCCUCCUGGUUUUGUUCCCUCGAUCUGCACAGCGGCUACUGGCAGGUGCUUCUCACUCCGAAACUGGCCACUGGCAGUUCAAGGUGUGUUUUGGACUCUGCAACCCACCGGCCACAUUUGAACGACUCAUGGACUGUGUGCCGUCAGACGUCCCCAAUCAAAAGUGUCUGGUAUAUUUAGAUUACAUUCUCGCCCAUGGGACCUCCUUCGAAGAAGCACUAGGAGCACUGAGGAGAGUGCUGGAAAGGGAGAGAAAUGCCACUUAAUGCGUUGAGAGGGAGGGGCAUCAGCACCAUGCCUGACAAACUGGAAGCUGUCCGAGACUGGCCUGUCCUGACGACAAAGCAAUAGGGC
ensembl:lncRNA